GGCCCCUUCGUCUAAAGGCAAGGAUAGGAGAUUUUCACUCUCUUGAUCAGGGUUCGAUUCCCUGAGGGGUCA
rnacentral:tRNA from 1 species